rnacentral:rRNA from 1 species
GAUGAACGCUGGCGGUAUGCCUAACACAUGCAAGUCGUACGAGAGUUUUUAACUCUAGUGGCGGACGGGUGAGUAACACGUGAGAAUUUGCCUUUAGGAGGGGGACAACAAUUGGAAACGAAUGCUAAUACCCCAUAUGCUUUCGAGUGAAAUGGAUUUUAUCCGCCUAGAGAGAAGCUCGCGGCUGAUUAGCUUGUUGGUAAGGUAAGAGCUUACCAAGGCGACGAUCAGUAUCUGGUUUGAGAGGACGAUCAGACACACUGGAACUGAGACACGGUCCAGACUCCUACGGGAGGCAGCAGUGGGGAAUUUUCCGCAAUGGGCGAAAGCCUGACGGAGCAAUACCGCGUGAGGGAAGAAUGCCUAUGGGUUGUAAACCUCUUUUUCAGGGAGGAAUAAAAUAGACGUGUACCUGAAGAAUAAGCAAUCGGCUAACUCCGUGCCAGCAGCCGCGGUAAUGUGACU